UCUCUUCAGGCAAAAAGACUGGGUCCCGUGUGGUUCCAUGUCUGGCAUAGCAGACCCUCAAAAUCAAUGGGCGAGGCAGUGAAUACCACAUGCAGUUACCAAAGGGACCAGGGAGCCAUUUCGGGGCUACGCGCCCCUUGCCUAUCUCUACCUCAACCGGGGCAUCCACAUAGCCUCGACACGCAGCUUCUCUUUUGGGUACUAAAAGUUAUACACUCGGUACGCCACUAUUCAAUGGAGAGGAAUCCGCUUCCAGUAGGCAAACAACUCCCGCUCCCACUCCUUGCUUCCAGUAGCCAUUCCAAAAAAUCAGGAGAAACCAACAAUUAACCGAACGUGAAUGCAGAGACAAGUCAGAAUGUGUGUCUUCAAACUGUUGGCCAUGUGAAAGAAAGCCGAGCAUGCGCAUCGCCGUGCCUGGAACACGCCGCCACCCGGUUCGCC
rnacentral:lncRNA from 1 species